UGACUCUGGGAGAAAGGCCAGCA
rnacentral:piRNA from 1 species